CAUGGCUCAGAUUGAACGCUGGCGGCAGGCCUAACACAUGCAAGUCGAACGGUAACAGGAAGCAGCUUGCUCUUGCUGACGAGUGGCGGACGGGUGAGUAAUGUCUGGGAAACUGCCUGAUGGAGGGGGAUAACUACUGGAAACGGUAGCUAAUACCGCAUAACGUCGCAAGACCAAAGAGGGGGACCUUCGGGCCUCUUGCCAUCGGAUGUGCCCAGAUGGGAUUAGCUUGUUGGUGGGGUAACGGCUCACCAGGCGACGAUCCCUAGCUGGUCUGAGAGGAUGACCAGCCACACUGGAACUGAGACACGGUCCAGACUCCUACGGGAGGCAGCAGUGGGGAAUAUUGCACAAUGGGCGCAAGCCUGAUGCAGCCAUGCCGCGUGUAUGAAGAAGGCCUUCGGGUUGUAAAGUACUUUCAGCGGGGAGGAAGGGAGUAAAGUUAAUACCUUUGCUCAUUGACGUUACCCGCAGAAGAAGCACCGGCUAACUCCGUGCCAGCAGCCGCGGUAAUACGGAGGGUGCAAGCGUUAAUCGGAAUUACUGGGCGUAAAGCGCACGCAGGCGGUUUGUUAAGUCAGAUGUGAAAUCCCCGGGCUCAACCUGGGAACUGCAUCUGAUACUGGCAAGCUUGAGUCUCGUAGAGGGGGGUAGAAUUCCAGGUGUAGCGGUGAAAUGCGUAGAGAUCUGGAGGAAUACCCGGUGGCGAAGGCGGCCCCCUGGACGAAGAC
rnacentral:rRNA from 1 species